GACGAACGCUGGCGGCGUGCUUAACACAUGCAAGUCGAACGGAAAGGCCCUGCUUGCAGGGUACUCGAGUGGCGAACGGGUGAGUAACACGUGGGUGAUCUGCCCUGCACUUCGGGAUAAGCCUGGGAAACUGGGUCUAAUACCGGAUAGGAGCCAUUUUUAGUGUGAUGGUUGGAAAGUUUUUUCGGUGUAGGAUGAGCUCGCGGCCUAUCAGCUUGUUGGUGGGGUAAUGGCCUACCAAGGCGGCGACGGGUAGCCGGCCUGAGAGGGUGGACGGCCACAUUGGGACUGAGAUACGGCCCAGACUCCUACGGGAGGCAGCAGUGGGGAAUAUUGCACAAUGGGCGCAAGCCUGAUGCAGCGACGCCGCGUGGGGGAUGACGGCCUUCGGGUUGUAAACUCCUUUCGCUAGGGACGAGGCUUUUUGUGACGGUACCUAGAUAAGAAGCACCGGCUAACUACGUG
rnacentral:rRNA from 1 species